UACGAAGGGGGCUAGCGUUGCUCGGAAUCACUGGGCGUAAAGCGCACGUAGGCGGAUCUUUAAGUCAGGGGUGAAAUCCUGGAGCUCAACUCCAGAACUGCCUUUGAUACUGAGGAUCUCGAGUCCGGGAGAGGUGAGUGGAACUGCGAGUGUAGAGGUGAAAUUCGUAGAUAUUCGCAAGAACACCAGUGGCGAAAGCGGCUUCCUGGUCCAGCACCGACGUUCAGGCACGAAAGCGUGGGGAGCAAACAGG
rnacentral:rRNA from 1 species